AUUGAACGCUGGCGGCAUGCUUUACACAUGCAAGUCGAACGGCAGCGCGGGCUUCGGCCUGGCGGCGCGUGGCGAACGGGGGAGUAAUGCAUCGGAACGUGCCCAGUAGUGGGGGAUAGCCCGGCGAAAGCCGGAUUAAUACCGCAUACGACCUGAGGGUGAAAGCGGGGGACCGAGAAGCCUCGCGCUAUUGGAGUGGGCGAUUUCGGUUUGGCUAGUUGGUGGGGUAAAGGCCUACCAAGGGGACGAUCCGUAGCUGGUCUUAGAGGACGACCCGCCACACUGGGACGGAGACACAGACCAGACUCCUGCGGGAGGCAGCAGUGGCGUAUGUUGGACAAUGGGGGCAACCCUGGUCCAGCCGUGCCGAGUGCGGGAAGAAGGCCUUCGGGUUGUAAACAGCUUUUGUGCGGGAAGAAAUCCUCUGGGCUAAUACCACGGGGGGAUGACGGUACCGGAAGAAUAAGCACCGGCUAACUACGUG
rnacentral:rRNA from 1 species